rnacentral:rRNA from 1 species
AGUGAACGCUGGCGGUAGGCCUAACACAUGCAAGUCGAACGGCAGCACAGUAAGAGCUUGCUCUUACGGGUGGCGAGUGGCGGACGGGUGAGGAAUACAUCGGAAUCUACUUUUUCGUGGGGGAUAACGUAGGGAAACUUACGCUACUACCGCAUACGACCUACGGGUGAAAGCAGGGGAUCUUCGGAUCUUGCGCGAUUGAAUGAGCCGAUGUCGGAUUAGCUAGUUGGCGGGGUAAAGGCCCACCAAGGCGACGAUCCGUAGCUGGUCUGAGAGGAUGAUCAGCCACACUGGAACUGAGACACGGUCCAGACUCCUACGGGAGGCAGCAGUGGGGAAUAUUGGACAAUGGGCGCAAGCCUGAUCCAGCCAUACCGCGUGGGUGAAGAAGGCCUUCGGGUUGUAAAGCCCUUUUGUUGGGAAAGAAAAGGAGCAGGUUAAUACCCGGCUGUUCUGACGGUACCCAAAGAAUAAGCACCGGCUAACUACGUG